rnacentral:lncRNA from 1 species
CGCCGGCCGGAACCCUGGAAACCGGCCAGUCCCGCGCUGCCACGUGGCAGGGCUUUUAUUUUAUUUUAUUUUAUUUUAUUUUAUUUUCGGCCGAAGUGGAUAAUGCACUUUUGCAGAAAAGACCCUACAACUUCAAACCUUUAUAUCUUUCAAACCGUUUGUCCAAAAUUUGUGUUCCGCACCUUUCUGGAAUCGUCGUAGCGUGUAGAAUAUUUUGGCACGGUUUAUUUUCAGUUUUGGCCAACUUAGACAGUAGCUAUUUACAGAAGGGUUGAAUAUGGUUCAAAUUUCAAAUGAAUUGUUUCAAAAUAGUUUUGAGCAUGUUAUCUUGCUGUAAAAUUAUUUAAAGUUGUUCUCUAUCCAUUAGGACCAGAGAAGAAAUUAUUUUGUGUAUAAUCAUGGCAUGCAAGUUAAAUAUUGCUCUAUGUUACAAAAGCCGCACAAUCUUUUGUUUUAAACCCUACUCAUGUUUCUUGCAUAUUAAUUACCACUUUGAUGUUGUAUAAUCUAUCCAAAUCUUUUGAAAAACUUUUCAAAACAGAAACGAAGCUACUUACCUUAGAAGUAACCUUUGUGUGCAUCAGCAUAGCAUAUGCAUCAUGGCAUGGUUUUUGUAUUGUAUGUUGUGUUUAUGGUGUGUGUUCUUUUUAUUUUAGAUUGUGUGGAGUGUAAUCAUUGUUGUUGCGAAGAGUGCGAGAACUACCACAACCUUGCACAAGGCAAGUUCACUUUGAUCAUUCUCCUAAAUAUUUUUACUAUGCACUAGAUGUUUUAUUAGAUGCAUCAGGAAUAUUAUUCGUACUUCUAUGCUAGCUAUAAAUCCCAGGUAGUAUAGUUUACCCUCGCCAUUACCUUGCGACCAAAAUUGCCAUCGAUUGUAGUUGAAUGCUAGGCUA